rnacentral:rRNA from 1 species
GAGUUUGAUCGUGGCUCAGGACGAACGCUGGCCGCGUGCUUAACACAUGCAAGUCGAACGCUGAAGCCUGGUGCUUGCACCGGGUGGAUGAGUGGCGAACGGGUGAGUAACACGUGAGUAACCUGCCCCUGACUUCGGGAUAAGCCCGGGAAACUGGGUCUAAUACCGGAUACGACCGUCGGACGCAUGUCUGGUGGUGGAAAGUUUUUUCGGUUGGGGAUGGGCUCGCGGCCUAUCAGUUUGUUGGUGAGGUAAUGGCUCACCAAGACGACGACGGGUAGCCGGCCUGAGAGGGCGACCGGCCACACUGGGACUGAGACACGGCCCAGACUCCUACGGGAGGCAGCAGUGGGGAAUAUUGCACAAUGGGGAAACCCUGAUGCGGCGACGCAGCGUGCGGAUGACGGCCUCGG